rnacentral:rRNA from 1 species
CAGUAGCCGCGGGAAUACGGAGGGUGCAAGCGUUAUCCGGAUUUAUUGGGUUUAAAGGGUCCGUAGGCUGACCUGUAAGUCAGUGGUGAAAUCUCAUAGCUUAACUAUGAAGCUGCCAUUGAUACUGCAGGUCUUGAGUGAAUUUGAGGUAGCUGGAGUAAGUAGUGUAGCGGUGAAAUGCAUAGAUAUUACUUAGAACACCAAUUGCGAAGGCAGGUUACCAAGAUUCAACUGACGCUGAGGGACGAAAGCGUGGGGAGCGAACAGGAUUAGAUACCCGAGUAGUCCCUGUCUCUUAUAC